GCGCGGCCGCGCAGGCGCAGCGGCUCCGCGGGGCGCCCGGGGUCCGACCGGCGCGGCGCGGCACGGCGCGGCACGGCACGGCACGGCACGGCGCGGCACGGCACGGCACGGCACGGCGCGGCGCGGCACGGCACGGCACGGCGCGGCACGGCGCGGCACGGCGCGGCACGGCACGGCACGGCACGGCACGGCGCGGCGCGGCACGGCGCGGCACGGCGCGGCACGGCACGGCGCGGCGCGGCACGGCCCCACCGAGCCCCACCGAGCCCGGCGAGCGGCCGGACAUCGGACAGUUCACUGAUUUUGGUUUUGAAGGCUCAUCAUAUGACAGAGAUAACUUGAAGAGAUCUUGCACAGUCUUGAAGGUUGUUUGUCUGCAUUUUGAAUUGCAGUAAGUAUAGCUGGUUUAAGCCGGUUUUAUUUAGGAAAUAGUAAAAAAUGCAUAC
rnacentral:lncRNA from 1 species